GCCUUCGUGGUGUAACUGGAAGCACACUCAUCUCGUAUUGGGGAGGUUCCUGAGUUCAAAUCCCGGCGAGGGCA
rnacentral:tRNA from 1 species